GUCCGGACCGGGCUGCCUGCGUCCGCUCCACUCGGCGCCGCGCCCCGCGCCCCGCGCCCGACCGUCGCUUCCCGCCUCCCCGCAGCUCCCUCCCCGCAACCCGCGGCGCGUGCGCACGAGAGUUACGCGGGGCAUCCUCCGGCGCCCAGACCCGGAGUUUGUUCGGCCUACCCGACCGGCGCUCUUGCGUCCGACAGACCCAGAAUACCGGGAGCACAGGGCGCCCUCCCCGCGCUUCCAUCCAGCGGGGCACCGGGCGCGUCCACUCUGAAUUCCCGUACUAGGGCGUCGCGGGAGACCACUGCGGCAGUGACGUCAGCUGAUCUCGGGGGCUCGAUCCUCCCGCUACCUCACAGUUUAUGCCCUACCAAGGCAAGGCUCCAGUGGCUUCCCUUGGCAGGUGAGGCCCCAGGCCUUCCAGGCCUGCAGGGCAGAAAAAGGGACCAAAGACUUCUGUGUGAAGUGAAAUUCUCCUACCAAGAAAAUGAGAAAUGAUGAUAUUGAGAAGACAAAGGUGGCAAAGAGACCAAAAGUUCCCCUGGCCAACCAUCGCCCUUCUUUGUUAGUGUUUGCUGGUUAAUAUGUAGGAAAAGCUUUCAACCUGUUUUGAAGAGACAAGGCCCAGCCACUUUGAAGAAGAAAAUCUGCUUAAAAUCUACAGAUUAUAAGUGUUCGCAGCAUCUUCACCUUUGUUGGGCCAAACAACUGGAUGUUACAGCCUAACGAACACAUAAAAUGAACCACCACAGAGAGAAACUUUAAACUUAAGUAAUGAAAGAAAUCCCAUUACCUAAAGCAACAACAACAAAAGGAAGUCAAGGUUCAUACAAAGGAUUCUUUUAUACUCUUAAAUGCAAGUAUAUUUUACACGAUAAUAUAAUAUAGUAGAAUACACUAGACUUGCAUGUUUAAAAAGAAUGUCCUCUGGAUAUGCAGACUUACAGCAGUUUAACAUGAUCAUGGAACAUAAUCCAGCAUAUUUUAACUAAAUCAGAUGAUUCUAAAAUUGCCCAAAGUAGAUGGUUAGCACAACGCUCUUAUGAGAUGAAAAAAACAAAGUGAAUACGAAUAUGGAUCAAAGAAGCAGAAUCACUGAAAGUGGUGCAAAAGGAAUUUAUUAUAGAGAUUUGUUAUUAUAAUACAGGCUUUCUUAUGGAGAAGCUGGUGUGGUCAGGUUAGGGAGGAAUGAUUACAGGCUUAUAGAAAAGCCACUAACGUGGGAGCAGGGAGGGAAACUGGUAAAGAGUCUUAUGAAAGCCUUCAGCUUCAAUGUCUGGUAGUGAGUGUGAAGUCACUAGUCAGUGAAAAGAAGUAAGAGGCUUGGACACGUGAUCUAUGAGAAAAAAAAAAUGGAACCCUUGGUUUUUCCUCACUGUGCCUUACCCCAGUGACCCAGAAGAAGCUGGUACUGUUAGCCAUGGAGCUAGUGCUGGAUACAGAGAAGCUAGAGAUACUGCAAGCCUGGGCUACUACUACUUAACAUGAGGCAAACUGACAGAAUAAGACAUGUGUACAAGUUGCCACAAUACUAGAAUGUUCAUACUCAGUUUGCCUUCGGGAAAUGACUUCGCCGGGAAGGUUCCUUGCCUUAAUGAACUGACCCACCUUUCCUGAGUAGUCUAUUCAUAGAGAGUAUUAUAGUUUACCCACAGAGUCUAUGAGCAGUACCAAGAACAGUCCUAAAGUCUCCUGCGUUUCUUCUUCGGCUGUGUUGCUAUUUAGUUGGCUCAAUCACUCCAGAUAGUAUAAUCAUUCCUUCCUGGCUUUGAGAGUUAACUAGGAGUCCAGAAUGGCCAAGUGGCAGUCUCAACUUCCAAUGUAACUGAAUAUAAGCCCCAGUAGGGAAUUCUCUUCUAGAGUAUUCAGAGGGAGCAAGAAUUCAACUUUGGAUUUAUAGUUUUCAUAACAACGAGGAAUUAAAACACCUGCUGUUUUUGGCACCUAGGUUAUAGCCAUUUGUUAUAGCAGCCCUGGGAGACAUACAGGAAUGAUACUCAGUUCUGAUGCUGGGUCAGAACAGAUUUUAAGAUUCUUCUAGAUUCAUUUCUCUGUGCCAGCGUUAAUAGUGUCCCCUGCUCAUGACAGAGCUGCUGCACAUACACUCACUGCAUUGGAGGCUGCCUGUCCAAGACCAGCACAUGAUCAAGC
ensembl:lncRNA